rnacentral:rRNA from 1 species
GAUGAACGCUGGCGGUAUGCUUAACACAUGCAAGUCGAACGGACUCUUCGGAGUUAGUGGCGGACGGGUGAGUAACGCGUUAGAAUCUGGCUUUGGGUUCGGGACAACCACUGGAAACGGUGGCUAAUACCGGCUGUGCCGAGAGGUAAAAGAGAAAUUGCCUGACGAUGAGCUCGCGUCUGUUUAGCUAGUUGGUGAGGUAAAGGCUCACCAAGGCAGCGAUCAGUAGCUGGUCUGAGAGGAUGACCAGCCACGCUGGGACUGAGACACGGCCCAGACGCAUACGGGAGGCAGGAGUGGGGAAUGUUCCGCAAUGGGCGAAUGUCUGACGGAGCAAUACCGAGUGAGGGAAGAAGGCUCUUGGGUUGAAAAGCUCUUUGCUUAGAGAAGAACAUAAUGACGGUACCUAAGGAAUCAGCAUCGGCUAACUCCGUG